UACGGAGGGUGCAAACGUUGCUCGGAAUCAUUGGGCGUAAAGCGCACGUAGGCGGUCGGCUAUGUCGGAUGUGAAAGCCUCGGGCUUAACCCGAGAAGGGCAUCCGAAACUGGCCGGCUUGAGUACGGAAGAGGGUCUCGGAAUUCCCGGUGUAGAGGUGAAAUUCGUAGAUAUCGGGAGGAACACCAGUGGCGAAGGCGGAGACCUGGGCCGAUACUGACGCUGAGGUGCGAAAAGCGUGGGGAGCAAACAGG
rnacentral:rRNA from 1 species